UCAAGACGAAACAUGGCGUGUAUUGUGCACAAAUAAUAUAAAUUAGUUUUUUUUAGUGAAGAUUAAGACACAAAUCAUCCAGACACUGAGACUUAAUAGUGUAUGUUUUUAUACCCUUGGAUCACAAUGAACUUUUUAUUUGUUACCGUGUGUAUUGUCCUGUGUACAGUUGCAUUUGGAGAAUCUAAAAUAAGAAGCAAGAGACAAGCUGCUUAUGGAUAUGGUGGAUACGGUGCUGUAGAUCCUAAUGCUCAACAGACAGCUUAUGGAAUGCCAUCUCAAUAUUCCUCUACUUAUGGGGCUGCGGUAGAUCCAGCUCAAUAUAAUGCUUACGGUGCAGCAGCUGCUUAUGGUAACGCUGCUUAUCAACCUGCUUACCAACAAGCAGCAGCUAACCCGGCCUAUGGUAACGCAGCUUAUCAACAAGCAGCAGCUAACCCAGCCUAUGGUAACGCAGCUUAUCAACAAGCAGCAGCCAACCCUGCUUAUCGUAAUGUUGCUUACCAAAAAGCAGCAGCCAACCCUACGUAUGGUAAUGUUGCUUACCAACAAGCAGCAGCCAACCCUGCUUAUGCUGCUGUUCAAGCUGCAAGCCCUUAUGGUUACGCUACUACUCCUUAGAAUCAGAUUUUAAUUAGAUAAAAUAAAAUUAGAUAAACCCAAGACGGGUUGGGUUCAUGUUAUUAUUGAGAUAUAUAUAUUGAAAUGUAUAUUGAAAUGUGUAUUGAUAUGUAUAUUGAAAUGUAUAUUGACCCUAGACGAUUUUUAUCUCUGUAAAUAUCCUUUAAUAUAUUAAAUUGAGUUUGUAUAUUUAGA